GCCCACACUCCCCAUCUCCCUGCUUCUUUGCACUACGCAUCUCAUCACACACGCACUGCUCCUCCUCAUACAGGCUCCCUGCCCACCAGCUCCGCUCGCGCUACCGGCCCUGCCCAAACACAGAGGUGGUCGCGCAGCCCAGCGGCACCUCCCCAUCCCAUCAGCGCCUCUGAGGGAUGAGAGUAACAAAGCCCGCUGCCACCCCCUCCUUCCUCACCUCACAUUAAUCCGGAAUGUCCUGACAGCCUCCAUAUGCCUACAGCACCUAAAAAGGAACUCCCAUGUGAGGUGGAGGUUGGACGGAGGAAAGAAAAGGUCCCCAGGUCCCUCAAAACAUUGUUCCUAAUAAGGAAGAUCUCUGAGUGUGCUGCUAAGGAAUUAAGAACCCCAAGCCUUCUAUUGCCAUGCCUGGGCAGUGUUUCACUGUAUCACCUUUCAAAAUGGGCCCUACAAAGAUCCUCCUGCGCUGGCUGAUUCCUCAGAGGGGUGGCAGAAGGCGGUUUUAUUCUAUUUUGCUGCAUUCAUCCAUUUCUCCUUCCAGUCCCAACAACAACAGCAGCACCCACCACACCCGCUGCCACCACCCACAGCAGCCAGCUCACCAGCAAGGACAUCUCCCGGCACAGCCCGCAUCCAGAAACAAGCAACAAGAACACACUGAAUUCCAUCUGUGAAGUUCUCCUCUGGGUUCGAGUGGCUGGCACCUGCCUCCUGCUCCUCACUGCCAUAAGCAUCACCAUCACGCUCUGUCAAACAGGGACCAGUACCAGGAACUGCCGGAAGCCGGAGUGCCUCUGCAAAACAGCAGUGGGGUGAAUAGAGCAGAGUGAGGAAGACGUCUAGCCUUCAUCCAGUGACCACCAGGAGGAACUACAACCCAUGCGCCAUGGAUUGUAUGCAAAGGAAUUCCUGGAGAAUGCAAAUGAAUUCCCAGAGAAUAAUGAAUAUGUGCAUGUAUCCCGGGAAACAUGCUGAAUAUGUAUAAGCUUGGCUUUUAAAUGCGUGGUGUUUUUGCUUACUGGUGUGCAAGCUGGG